CCUCCCCUCGCGUCGCGAGUUCCAACCGGGCAGCGAGACCUGGCCGACUCAGGGUGCCAGAGUACUGGAGAGCUAAAAAUAUAACCGGUCACCGUUCUGGCCAAAUUGCAUCCUACUGGGAAACCUUACAAGACAGGAUGAGAAAGGCUGUGGGAGAGCGGAGUGAAUCCCUGGAAGGAAGGUGUUGAAUUUUUGCGCGUUUCUGUAUUUAUUCGAAUCUCCCCUGCAGUGCUGAAAACACACCAGCCUUGAGGAAUAUCACUGAAACAAAACUGAGAAAUCCAGCUUCCUUGAUCCACUCCUUCAACUGGGCAGGAGCAAAGACAGCCACAACAGAAAUUAGCUUUGGAGAAGAGUGAUUGGAUGGAUGCCAAGGGCAAAUGAUUUGCUAUGUACUGACCUGAUGUGAGUGAAUUCUAGUAAACAAGGCACAUCCCAUCGAAAGGACUUAUGAAAGGGGACUUCCCUGGUGGCGCAGUGGUUAAGAAUCCACCUGCCAAUGCAGGGGACACAGGUUCGAACCCAGGUCCGGGAAGAUCCCACAUGCCGCAGAGCAACUAAGCCUGUGUGCCACAACCACUGAGCCUGCGCUCUAGAGCCCGUGAGCCACAACUACUGAAGCCCGCGCACCUAGAGCCCGUGCUCCGCAACAAGAGAAGCCACCGCGAUGAGAAGCCCGCGCACUGCAGUGAAGAGUAGCCCCUGCUUGCCGCAACUAGAGAAAGCCUGCACGCAGCAACAAAGACCCAACGCAGCCAAAACUAAAUAAAUAAUAAAUUGGGUUAAAGAAAGAAAAAAGGACUUA